rnacentral:rRNA from 1 species
CACGUAGGGGGCGAGCGUUGUCCGGAAUCAUUGGGCGUAAAGAGCUCGUAGGCGGCUCGGUAAGUCGGGUGUGAAACCCCCAGGCUCAACCUGGGGACGCCACCCGAUACUGCUGUGGCUAGAGUCCAGUAGGGGAGUGUGGAAUUCCCGGUGUAGCGGUGAAAUGCGCAGAUAUCGGGAGGAACACCAGCGGCGAAGGCGGCACUCUGGGCUGGAACUGACGCUGAGGAGCGAAAGCGUGGGUAGCAAACGGG